rnacentral:rRNA from 1 species
AUUGAACGCUGGCGGCAUGCCUUACACAUGCAAGUCGAACGGUAACAGGUCUUCGGAUGCUGACGAGUGGCGAACGGGUGAGUAAUACAUCGGAACGUGCCCAGACGUGGGGGAUAACGAGGCGAAAGCUUUGCUAAUACCGCAUACGAUCUAAGGAUGAAAGCAGGGGACCGCAAGGCCUUGCGCGUUUGGAGCGGCCGAUGGCGGAUGAGGUAGUUGGUGGGAUAAAAGCUUACCAAGCCGACGAUCUGGAGCUGGUCUGAGAGGACGACUAGCCACACUGGGACUGAGACACGCCCCAGACUCCUACGGGAGGGAGCAGUGGGGAAUGUUGGGCAAAGGGCGAAAGCCUGAUCCAGCAAUGCCGCGUGCAGGAUGAAGGCCUUCGGGUCGUAAACUGCUUUUGUACGGAACGAAAAGGCUCUGGCUAAUACCUGGGGCACAUGACGGUACCGGAUGAAUAAGCACCGGCUAACUACGUG